GGCUCAGGAUGAACGCUAGCUACAGGCUUAACACAUGCAAGUCGCGGGGUAACAUCUGGUAGAGCUUGCUCUUCCAGGAUGACGACCGGCGCACGGGUGAGUAACGCGUAUCCAACCUGGCCCAUACCACGGGAUAGCCCGUCGAAAGGCGGAUUAAUACCGUAUGCUGUCAUUAAGAUGCAUAUAUUGAUGACGAAAGGACUGGCGGUAUGGGAUGGGGAUGCGUCUGAUUAGCUUGUUGGCGGGGCAACGGCCCACCAAGGCGACGAUCAGUAGGGGUUCUGAGAGGAAGGUCCCCCACAUUGGAACUGAGACACGGUCCAAACUCCUACGGGAGGCAGCAGUGAGGAAUAUUGGUCAAUGGGCGCAAGCCUGAACCAGCCAAGUAGCGUGAGGGAAGACUGCCCUACGGGUUGUAAACCUCUUUUGUUUGGGAAUAAAGUGCGGGACGUGUCCCGCAUUGCAUGUACCAUUUGAAUAAGGACCGGCUAAUUCCGUG
rnacentral:rRNA from 1 species